CCUACGGGAGGCAGCAGUGGGGAAUAUUGGGCAAUGGACGAAACUCUGACCCAGCAAUGCCGCGUGAAUGAAGAAGGUCUUCGGAUUGUUAAGUUCUUUAGUCAGGGAAGCAUAAACUGACGGUACUUGAAGAAUAAGCUCCGGCUAACUACGUGCCAGCAGCCGCGGUAAUACGUAGGGAGCAAGCGGUGCUCGGAAUGCCUGGGCGUAAAGGGUGCGUUGGCGGUUAUACAAGUGAGAAGUGAAAUACGCACGGCUUAAAUCGGGUGCUGCAUCAGAAACUGUAAGUCUUGAGUGCAGGAGAGGUAUGCGGAAUGCGUGGUGUAGCGGUGAAAUGCGUAGAUAUUAGGAGGAACACCGGUGGCGAAGGCGGCUAACUGGACUGCAACUGACGCUGAGGCACGAAAGUGUGGGGAGCAAACAGGAUUAGAUACCCGGGUAGUC
rnacentral:rRNA from 1 species